rnacentral:rRNA from 1 species
CCUACGGGUGCCAGCAGUCGAGAAUCAUUCACAAUGGGGGAAACCCUGAUGGUGCGACGCCGCGUGGGGGAAUGAAGGUCUUCGGAUUGUAAACCCCUGUCAUGUGGGAGCAAAUUAAAAAGAUAGUACCACAAGAGGAAGAGACGGCUAACUCUGUGCCAGCAGCCGCGGUAAUACAGAGGUCUCAAGCGUUGUUCGGAAUCACUGGGCGUAAAGCGUGCGUAGGCUGUUUCGUAAGUCGUGUGUGAAAGGCGCGGGCUCAACCCGCGGACGGCACAUGAUACUGCGAGACUAGAGUAAGGGAGGGGGAACCGGAAUUCUCGGUGUAGCAGUGAAAUGCGUAGAUAUCGAGAGGAACACUCGUGGCGAAGGCGGGUUCCUGGACAUUAACUGACGCUGAGGCACGAAGGCCAGGGGAGCGAAAGGGAUUAGAUACCCGAGUAGUC